CGUGCGCGUGCGUCCUUAUCCUUCAGGGAUUAUAAAGCGAACGUCACGUCGGUUCAGCAGCCUGAUGGUGUCAAUGCACUGAAAACCACUGGACUACUUGUGGUGUUGAGCGUUGUGUUUACCUUUUCCUGCUCCGGUGACCAGGGCUCGUUUGCCUGGGAAUGAAAUCUCCAUGUUCGAUCAGGUCCGGGAUCAGCUGUAGAUUGAUAUCCAACAAUAAAGAGAGGCUCUAAUAACAGCAUGGACGUACUUACAUACCUGGCGUGCAGCAGACAGAGCCAGCGAUCACUGCACUGCGGCUAAGCCAGCCCCCACUUUGACAACACACACUGCAGGAAGUAGCGUCUCUGUGUUCCGCCGGGCUCAAAGAUUAAACUUCUACCAAAGUUAAUGGUCAAAAAAA